CCUACGGGGGGCUGCAGUGAGGAAUAUUGGUCAAUGGGCGAGAGCCUGAACCAGCCAAGUAGCGUGAAGGAUGACUGCCCUACGGGUUGUAAACUUCUUUUAUAAAGGAAUAAAGUGAGGCCCGUGUGCCUUUUUGUAUGUACUUUGUGAAUAAGGAUCGGCUAACUCCGUGCCAGCCGCCGCGGUAAUACGGAGGAUCCGAGCGUUAUCCGGAUUUAUUGGGGUUAAAGGGAGCGUAGAUGGGUUGUUAAGUCAGUUGUGAAAGUUUGCGGAUCAACCGUAAAAUUGCAAUUGAUACUGGCAGCCUUGAGUACAGGUGAGGUAGGCGGAAUUCGUGGUGUAGCGGUGAAAUGCUGAGAUAGCACGAAGAACUCCGAUUGCGAAGGCAGCCUACUAAACUGCCACUGACAUUGAUGCUCGAAAGUGUGGGUAUCAAACAGGAUUAGAUACCCCAGUAGUC
rnacentral:rRNA from 1 species